rnacentral:lncRNA from 1 species
GAGGUGAUACCCUAGGCUGAGGGGGUCCCGCGGAAGCCGUAGUGUGUUAGCACUGAGAGAGCGUGUGUGUGUAUGUGUGUGUGUACGUAUGUGUGUGUACGUGUGUGAGUGUGUGUGUGUGUGUGAGGCGCAGCAGACUCGUUCAGUCCGGCAUUGGCUGUGUAGAGGUGAGGGUACCCUGUUACACCACACAGCGCCAACGACAUAGCUCAACUCGGUGCGCCUCGACUCCCGUGCUCGUCGUCAAAAUAAAAACAAAUAGAAAACUUCUUUACCUUCACUUCAUACGAGACUACACACUGUCUCUCUCUCACUCUCUAUUUUUUCUCUCUUUAUCUACCUAUCACUCCGUCUCUCGCGUACGGGUGUGUGUGUGUGUUUCUCUUUUUCCCUUCUGACUCUCUCUCUCUCUCUCGUCAUUUUCCGUUUCUCUCUCUCUCUCUCUCUCUGUAUCGCCGCUCGAGACACGCAUAUAUAUAUCAAGAGGGCGAGCGAAACACGUGUUUUCUCUCCCUCGAUGACCGUCUACGCGCUGAUAUGAGUCGCUUUGCAUUAGCGUAACAGUUCUGUGUGAUACAUUCAGUUGUCAGUGAUGACCCACACUGGAUUUACCUGGAUUCGCUCGUCUCAGGACUUGCUCGAACGCUGCUUCGGUUGCCUUCACCGCUGUCUUCUAUCGUCCGAAGAAGACCAAGAGCAGCUGAGAAACACGACGAGGCAGUAAAUAGUUUUGAAAAAAAGAAGGCAGAUAUUUGAUAAAAUAAGGAGCAAAGAAGUCACGAACGAUGAAUAAUAUAUAAAAAAGAAAAUAA